UACGGAGGGUGCAAGCGUUAAUCGGAAUUACUGGGCGUAAAGCGUGCGCAGGCGGCUUUGCAAGACAGAUGUGAAAUCCCCGGGCUCAACCUGGGAACUGCAUUUGUGACUGCAAGGCUGGAGUACGGUAGAGGGGGAUGGAAUUCCGCGUGUAGCAGUGAAAUGCGUAGAUAUGCGGAGGAACACCGAUGGCGAAGGCAAUCCCCUGGACCUGUACUGACGCUCAUGCACGAAAGCGUGGGGAGCAAACAGG
rnacentral:rRNA from 1 species